rnacentral:rRNA from 1 species
CAGCCGCCGCGGUAAUACGUAGGGGGCGAGCUUUGUCCGGACUUACUGGGCGUAAAGGGCGUGUAGGCGGCCUGUUAAGUCAGGGGUGAAAGACCGGGGCUCAACCCCGGGGGUGCCUCUGAAACUGGCGGGCUUGAGUGCUCUAGAGGGCAGUGGAAUUCCCGGUGUAGCAGUGAAAUGCGUAGAGAUCGGGAGGAACACCAGUGGCGAAGGCGGCUGCCUGGGGAGUCACUGACGCUGAGGCGCGAAAGCUAGGGGAGCAAACAGGAUUAGAUACCCGGGUAGUCCUAGCCGUAAACGAUGAGCGCUAUGUGUGAGGGGUAUCGACCCCCCUCGUGCAGGAGCUAACGCAUUAAGCGCUCCGCCUGGGGAGUACGGCCGCAAGGUUGAAACUUAAAGGAAUUGGCGGG